GACGAACGCUGGCGGCGUGCCUAAUACAUGCAAGUAGAACGCUGAAGGAGGAGCUUGCUUCUCCGGAUGAGUUGCGAACGGGUGAGUAACGCGUAGGUAACCUGCCUGGUAGCGGGGGAUAACUAUUGGAAACGAUAGCUAAUACCGCAUAACAGUAGAUGUUGCAUGACAUUUGCUUAAAAGGUGCAAUUGCAUCACUACCAGAUGGACCUGCGUUGUAUUAGCUAGUUGGUGAGGUAACGGCUCACCAAGGCGACGAUACAUAGCCGACCUGAGAGGGUGAUCGGCCACACUGGGACUGAGACACGGCCCAGACUCCUACGGGAGGCAGCAGUAGGGAAUCUUCGGCAAUAAACGGAAGUCUGACCGAGCAACGCCGCGUGAGUGAAGAAGGUUUUCGGAUCGUAAAGCUCUGUUGUAAGAGAAGAACGAGUGUGAGAGUGGAAAGUUCACACUGUGACGGUAUCUUACCAGAAAGGGACGGCUAACUACGUG
rnacentral:rRNA from 1 species